CACCAGCGAUGAGCUCGCACUUCUGCGCAGUGCUGGUGACUAGUAGCCCUUCGGGGCGAAGCUAAGACGAGC
rnacentral:ribozyme from 1 species